rnacentral:rRNA from 1 species
UAGGGAAUAUUAGUAAUGGGCGAAAGCCUGAACUAGCAACGCCGCGUGUGCGAAGAAGGCCUUCGGGUUGUAAAGCACUUUUUGAGAGGAUGAGGAAGGACGGUACUCUCAGAAUAAGUCUCGGCUAACUACGUGCCAGCAGCCGCGGUAACACGUAGGAGGCAAACGUUAUCCGGAUUUACUGGGCGUAAAGCGCGUGUAGGUGGUUUGGUAAGUAGGGCGUGAAAGCUCCUGGCUCAACUGGGAGAGGCCGUUCCAAACUGCCGAACUAGAGGACGGUAGAGGGAGGUGGAAUUCCGGGUGUAGCGGUGGAAUGCGCAGAUAUCCGGAGGAACACCAGUGGCGAAAGCGGCCUCCUGGACCAUUCCUGACACUCAGACGCGAAAGCUAGGGUAGCAAACGG